rnacentral:lncRNA from 1 species
AUGCACUCCAGAAGUCGCUACUGUUUUUGCUAUUGUUUUUAUCGCAGUCUUAAGAGUAGCCUUGUUUUGUUUUUCUGUUUUCUAGUUUUAAUUGGAGGACAAUUGCUUUACACUGUUGUGUUAGUGUCUGCUGUACAUCAGUGUGAAUCAGCUAUCAGUAUACAUAUCCCUUCCCUCUUAAGCCUUACUCUUACCCCUCUAGGUCACUGCAGAGCAAAGAGCAGCCUUGUGAACAACAUUUCUUCCAAUUGUGGAAGAGGCUCCAGCCUGAGGACCUGUGCUGUGAGGGAUGACAGUCCCCCUGCUCCCUCAUUCUUCCUCCAGCUGCUCCCCCAACUUCCAGACCCUGCUCCCCAUUGGUGCUCCUCAGCUCUGCCAGGUACAGGCUGGCUCUGGCACAACACUGUUGGUGUCAGCCUUCUAGAGGCGGCUUCUGGUCUGUGCCCCUCUAAACUGGGAAGCUAGAAGAAUAAGCGUUUGGCUCUUGUUGGAAAUGAAGAGUAUGGAGCAACAUUUAAGAAUCACACAAGAAACUUAUUACAAUGUAAGUGACACUCUGAAUUAUCUUGGGGAGGCUCUCAGAAACCUGCACAUGCUCCCUAGUGAUUUUUAUGCCAGAGGUAUGCGAGACACAGGCUUGGAAAGUGGAAGGGAAUAUGAAGAAGGAACAGGGUACCAGUGGUGGUAGGAAAUGGAGAGGCAAGGGGAGAGAGGAAGAUUGCAGAGGAAAUGGGUAACCCAGACUACAAGCACCACUGAGGGAGGAAAAGAGGGGAAGGAGGUAGGAAAUAUUCUUCACUAAACAUCUAGACGUGGAAUGCCCUGCAGAACGCCAGAUAUCAGAGGACUUGGACUAAGAUUUGAUGGUGAUGGUGAUGGUGAUGAGACUGCUGCUGGUGGUGAUGGAGGGCAGUAGGCUUUGUUCACCAGCCUUACAGCGCUGGUAGGAAGCAGAGCCAUCUGGUGCAUAUUCGGCACAUUACAGAAUCUAUUUUGCUUUCACUAGUGCUGCUCAGCCAAAUUUAUAUCUGUCUCUGGCUGCAAAACUUGCCUGGUAUUGGACUAAGCCCUGAGCUCUGAGCAGGAAGAAUCCUGUGCCAGGGACGUGAUCAGGUUUCUCCCGAGCCCAGGGCAAGUCUACAUCUCUGAGCCUUCCUAGAAUUUGAGUCCUUGUUCCAGAGGGUGGGAACCCAGGAAUGUCUCUAAAUAAAUGAUUGAAAGCUCUGAAGGAAUCUGUGCUC